rnacentral:rRNA from 1 species
UACAGAGGGUGCGAGCGUUGUUCGGAAUUACUGGGCGUAAAGCGCGCGUAGGCGGCUCUUUAAGUCUUACCGUGAAAUGCCGGGGCUCAACCCCGCGCACGUCGGGGGAUACUGGGGGAGCUGGAGACGAAGUAGAGGCGAGCGGAAUUCCGGGUGUAGCGGUGGAAUGGCGUAGAGAUCCGGAAGAACACCAGAGGCGAAGGCGGGCUCGCUGG